UGGGGAAUUUUGGACAAUGGGCGAAAGCCUGAUCCAGCAAUGCCGCGUGUGUGAAGAAGGCCUUCGGGUUGUAAAGCACUUUUGUCCGGAAAGAAAGUCCUUGGCUCUAAUACAGUCGGGGGAUGACGGUACCGGAAGAAUAAGCACCGGCUAACUACGUGCCAGCAGCCGCGGUAAUACGUAGGGUGCAAGCGUUAAUCGGAAUUACUGGGGCGUAAAGCGUGCGCAGGCGGUUUGCUAAGACCGAUGUGAAAUCCCCGGGCUCAACCUGGGAACUGCAUUGGUGACUGGCAGGCUAGAGUAUGGCAGAGGGGGGUAGAAUUCCACGUGUAGCAGUGAAAUGCGUAGAGAUGUGGAGGAAUACCGAUGGCGAAGGCAGCCCCCUGGGCCAAUACUGACGCUCAUGCACGAAAGCGUGGGGAGCAAACAGGAUUCAGAUACCCGUGGUAGUCCAGCGCCCUAAACGAUGUCACUAGUUGUUGGGAUUCAUUUCCUUAGUAACGUAGCUAACGCGUGAAGUUGACCGCCUGGGGAGUACGGUCGCAAGAUUAAAACUUAAAUGAAUUGACGGGGUCAUAGCUGUUUCCU
rnacentral:rRNA from 1 species